UACGUAGGUGGCAAGCGUUAUCCGGAAUUAUUGGGCGUAAAGAGCGCGCAGGUGGUUGAUUAAGUCUGAUGUGAAAGCCCACGGCUUAACCGUGGAGGGUCAUUGGAAACUGGUCGACUUGAGUGCAGAAGAGGGAAGUGGAAUUCCAUGUGUAGCGGUGAAAUGCGUAGAGAUAUGGAGGAGCACCAGUGGCGAAGGCGGCUUCCUGGUCUGUAACUGACACUGAGGCGCGAAAGCGUGGGGAGCAAACAGGAUUAGA
rnacentral:rRNA from 1 species